ensembl:lncRNA
CUAAGAGGCAGUGAAUAGCUGGAUAAACAAAAUGUGGUGUAUACAUGCAAUGGAAUAUGAUUCAUCACUGGCAGGAAUAAAAUUCUGAUACAUACUACGGCAUGAAUGAACCUUAAAAACAUUGUGCUAAGUGAAAUAAGCCAGACAUAGGAGAAUGAAUAAUAUUGUGAUUCUACUCAGAUAUCUAGGAUAGGCAAAUUCAGUGACAGGAAGUAGAUUUGAGGUUGCCAGUGGCAGGGGGUGAGAAGGAGGAAACAGGUAAAGAGAUUCUGUUUGAGGUAAUGAAAUGUUCUGGAAAAUAGUGGGGGGAGGGUGUACUUAAUGCCACCGAAUUGUAUGUAUAAAAGUGGUUAAAGUGAUACAUUUUAUAUUAUGUGUAUUUUACCACAAUUAAAACAAAGGCAAUGAGUAGAGAAGAAAUAAAUGAAAGAAUUAACAGUAAAAUGUUCCAAAGAUACAAAUGCAAAGAGUUCAAAAGUAUGUAAAUCUGUUAAAUGUGAUAUAACUAACUAUAGCCUCUUUAUCAAGGGAACAAAACCUGUGUUCUUUCUCUUGACACUAUUUUUAGGGAGGUGAGUAAGCUUCCAUCAAUGUUACCAUCAUAUACUCUUAUCUUUUCUGCCAUAUCAGUGGCAGCAAGUGCUUUUCCCCAGCAUUAAAGUGAACUACUUCUAUGACAUGUUAUCACAGGUAAACUAACUCAGGCUUGGAGUAUUGAAAUGCCUCAGAAAAUUAAUUUCCUAGGUUAAUUUUGGUUUUUAAUCUAUCUUUUAAUAUUAUAUAUAUCCAAGGAAUCAAGAGUGAAAAUGAAAUACAGUUAUGACAUGAUUAGUGGUUAUAUUUUUAUUUUCCUGAGAUCGGAGCCUUCUGUUAUGUGAGAUAAAUCUUUUGCUAGGAUUUUGUAUUUUUAACUCACACACAAUAUGGGAACUCAUGGCAGGGGGUAGAGCUGGUAUUUAAAAUUUCCCUUCAAAAAAAGUUAGAGAAUAAGAGGCAAACUGUGUGGGCCACGAGGCAGCACACCAGAGCUGAUGAGAAAGGCUGUGGUUGUGUUUUGGAUCAUGUAGGGGUACAACACCCAGAGAAGAUGCCUGGUAAAUGAUCAGAUGGCAGUUCCCGGAAGGGCUGCUGAGCAGAAGCAGAGGCUUUGGCAGAACCUAAAUGGCAAAGUCACAAACAGUAACGGACUCUAAAAAUACCAACUGCAACCCCAGCAAAAUGCAAGUCCUUAUAUGCAGGAAGUAUAAUGGGAAAUGUAUCGAUUGGUGUUUUUGCCCAGAUGCGUGAAUAGUGAUUACAAGUGGAGAGGCUCACUUUUUCUUCAAAGGAGGAUGCUGUACAACUUUGAUCACCAUCAGCGGAGUCUUCUAGCAAGAAGGGCAACUCAAGUCCAUGGCCGUGUAGGAGGAGUUUUCUGACUGCAAGUGGCUGGAAUAGAACUCAAAUCCGCUUUCACAUAGUCAUUCUUUCAGUCUACUCAGAUUUAAGGAGCACUUACUAUAUCCCAAGCCCUGUUCUAGGUACUUGGAAUAUAUCUCUGCAUCAAAUCAAGAUCAAGUUCUGUGCCCUCAUGAAGCUUAAGUUGUAGCAGGAAAAGGUGGAAAAUAAGGAAUGAACUUUAUGCAAAAGGACCUUAUAUAAUGUGUUAGAAAUGGUAGGGGUUACAGAAAAAGGAAAAAAUGGAACAGGAAAAGGAAACGUGAGGGUGCCCAGGGGUGGUGGACCUGCAGGAGGGGGUGAGGGCGAGCUUUGUGGAGAUAGUGAUACAGGGCCAAGGGCUUGCAGCAGGGAGUUCGUAUGACUUCCGAUGGAGGGGCUAUGGUGUGUGACGGGGCCCUGGGUGGCUCUGAGGUGUUUGCCCUAAGCCAUGGAAGGAUGGAGCUGUUCUAGGUUGAAAGCAUAGAGGCCAUGGGUGUAGCAGGCUUGGGGUGAAGAUCAAGAGUUCACACUGGGGGUUCCCUGGUGGUGCAGAGGAUUAAGGAUCUGGCAUUGUCCCUGCAGUGGCCCAGAGUGAUGAUGUGGUAUGGAUUCAGUCUCUGGCAAGGGAACUUCCACAUGCUGCAGGCAUGGCCAAAACAACGACACCAAAAAAAGUGUCUACUUUGCACACAUCAAGUCUGACCUGUCUAUUAGACACCCAGCAGGAGAUACUGAGUAGAUCAUUGGUAUAUUCUUUUUUCUUUUUUUACGGCCACGCCGGCAGCAUAUAGAAGCUCCUGGUGCAGAGGUCGAAUCAGACCUGCAGCUACAGGCCUAUGCCACAGCCACGCCAGAUCUGCGCUGCAUCUGUGACCUAUGCCACAGCUUGCAGCAACACUGGAUCCUUAACCCAUUGAGUGGGGCCAGGGAUUGAACCUGCAUCAUCACAGAGACAAAGUUGGGUCCUUAACCUGCUGAGCCAUAGUGGGAACUCUGGUAUAUUCAUUUCCUAUUCUUGCUGUAAUGAAUUACCACAAAUUUAGUAGGUUCAAACAACACAGAUUUGUUAUUGCAUAGUCAUAAACUCAAGGUGUUGGCAGGGCUGUGUUCCUCCUGGACAGUCUAGGGGAGAAGCUGCUUCCAGCCGUUUCCACCUACCAGAGGCUGCCUGCAUCCCGUGACUUGCAGCCCCUUCCCCAACUGCAAAGUGCAUCACUCUAGCCUCCGCUUCGUUGUCCUAUUCCCCUCUCUGACCUUCCUCUUAUAUUGCCUUUCUUCCUAUAAGGACACUUAAGACUAUAUUGGAGCCCCCCAUCCUCCCACCCCAGAUUAUCCAGGAUAAUUUUCCCCCUCUCAAGAUCCUUGAGUUCAUCACAGCUGCAAAGUUAUUUGAGUCUGGAGUUCUGGUAAGAGACCCCAGCUAAAGGAAACCUGGCAGGUAAAAUCCUUCCUGGGGAAUUUAGUGGUUCCCAUAGCUAGGACAGCGUGGAAUUGAACACUGGAUCCUUGGAUUGAAAGCUGUCCUUGGAAGUCCCAUGGUGGCUAAGCAGGUUAGGGACCCAAUGUUGUCUCUGUGAGGACGCGGAUUCAAUCCCUGGCCUCAUUCGGUGGGUUAAGGAUCCGAUGCUGCCAUGGCUGUGGUGUGGCUCUGCAGCUGCAGCUCUGAUUUGACCCCUAGUUCCCUAUGGGAACUUCCGUUUGCUGCAGGUGUGGCUGGGAAAGAGAGAAGGAAGGAAGGAAAGGGAGGGAGGAAGGAAAGAAAGAAAAGAGAGAAAGAGGAAGGCAGGCAGGCAGGAAGGAGCUGUCCUCCUCAUAUUUUCUCCCUCUCUUUCCCUAUCCCCCCUCCAGCCUGCCUCCUCCCCACCCCGGUGGCUCUGGGUGUCUGAGACGGGCUCAUUCUCUCCCACUGCUGGAUCAUGCCUGACUGCCAGUAACUCCAGGUUUAAAUAAUCUUGGUAAGAAACCCUAGAGAAAAGAUAGAACUUCUUUCUCAUGGGGUUCACACAUAAAAUCCCUCAGGGCUCUGCUAGGGCCUAAGUCGUAUGGCGAGAUGGGUGGGAUCUGUGGUGUCACCCCUGUGGUUGGUGAGUGUCGGUCUCCAGAGAACCAGAGGGAACCAGAGGAGGGGCAGGCAGAGGGAGAGGGGCUAUUUCUAGAAAAGAUGCUAGUGAAACAAAAGCAAUAGCUAUGCUAAAAAUACCACAGACUUUUAUUUUUAAGAUUAUCUUUUAGAAAAAUUUAAACAUUACCAAAAGUAGACAGAAUAGUCUAAUGAUCCCUCACAUACCAAUCACCUGCACUUCAACAGUUACUUUUUAAAAUUAUUAUUAAUGUGUAGUUGAUUUACAAUGUUGUGCUAAUUUCUGUUGUACAGCAAAAUGACACACACACACACACACAUAUAUAUAUAUAUAUAGCUGUGCCUGCAGCAUGUAGAAGUUCCAUGGCCAGGAACCGAACCCAUGCCACAUCAGCGACUCAAGCUGCUGCAGUGACAAUGCUGACUCCUACUUUUUUUUUUUUUUUAGGGCUGCACCUGCAGCGUAUGGACGUUCCCAGGCUAGGGGUUGGAUCAGAGCUGCAGCUACGCCACAGCCACAGCAAUGCCAGAUCCGAGCCAUGCCUGGGACCUACACCACAGUUCACAGCAAUGCUGGAUCCUUAACCCACUGAAUGAGGCCAGGGAUCAAACUUGCAUCCUCAUGGAUACUAGUUGGAUUCAUUACCGCUGUAGGAGCCACAAUGGAAACUCAUACAUUCUUUAAUAUAUAUAAUGUAUGUAUAUAUUCCUUUCCAUUAUGGUUUAUCCCAGGAGAUUGGAUAUAGUUCCCUGUGCUAUACAAUAGGACCUCACGGUCUAUCCAUUCUACAUGUAAUAGUUUCUAUCUACUAGCCCCAAACUCCCUGUCCCUUCCUUGGCAACCACAAGUCUGUUCUCUUUGUCCCUGGGUCUCAACAAUUACUCUUAACCCAACAUAUUUCUUCUAUGUGUCUAACUCCUCCCCGCCACCUCAAACCGUUUUAAAUCCAGACAUCAUAUCAUUUUCCUGGAAAUAUUGCAGUCUGAAACACUAAAGAAGAAGGACUCUUUAAAAAAUCAAACUCACCAUUAUUGCACUAAAAUUUUUGUAACAUUAAUGUUAACUAUUCAGUCAGUGUUCAAGUUUCCCCAUUUGUCUCAUAAAGGAUGGCUUAAAUCAAAUGUCCAAAUGAGGUUGGUCCAUUCUGUUCAGUUCAGCAUUUCCUAUGAGGUGCACCUGCAAGUUACCUGUCUAAAGCCAUCUAAACAAACCCUUGGUUCUCUAUUCCUCAUAAUGCCUCCACUGUACUCAUGGUUCUGUCUCUGCCAGGUCAGUUGCCUUUCGCUUGUCACUCGAGCACUUUCACUUCUUUACACUCGCUGACUCUAAGCACCAGAGUGGCUUUUGUGCAGAAAGUAUUCCGGAGUCAUUCUGAAAGCAGCAGAUGUGGUUUAGGUGAGUCUGGCUUUUGAAAACCCCCAGAGAUCUUGAUACGCUACUCGGCUGUCUUAUUUCCUUUCCUCCCAUGUUUUCCCACUGGGAGAUGAAAACCAAGAUGUUUCUUCCACAUCAUUCUUUCCAUAUAGGCUUUUGCCACAUAUAUAUUAUAUAUAUGUGUGUGUCUUUUUGGGGCUGCACCCACGGCAUGUGGAAGUUCCCAGGCUAGCCGUUGAAUUGGAGCUGCAGCCGCCAACCACAGCCAUAGCCACAGCCACGUGGGAUCUGAGCCAUGUCUGUGACCUACAUCACAGCUCACAGCAACGCCGGAUCCUUCACCCACUGAGCAAGGCCAGGGAUCGAACCUGCAUGCAUCCUCGUGGAUACUAGUCAGGUUCAUUACUACUGAGCCAUGAUGGGAGCUCCUGUCCUAUAGUUUCAAGUGCAGGUUUGGUUCAGGUAGUGCCUUCACUGAGUGGGUCCACCUGGACCUGCUGAGUAAGACAGUCAAAUGGCUGAGCUGAGGCAUGAACUUCCUUCUUUGUGGUUUUCGUGUUGGGCUUUUGACCGUCAGUGAAUCCCUCAGAGCCGUUGCAGUUUAAGGUACCCUCUAGAGGAGAGGGAAGAAGGCAGGGGGCCUUGAAAACAUGAACAAAGAAGCUCAAACCUGACCUUUGGAAAGAGUUCAGCAAUUCCCAUGGCCCUUGCUUAGUGCCCUGGAGAGAAUUUUGGCCAAGUUGCUGUGCAUCUUUUCAUGGAACUGUCAUCACACGUACACUUUUACUCUUCAUUCACCACCAUAUCAUAAGCACUUCUUUUCUGUUGUUUCAUAUUUUCCUUUACCUUAAUUUUUGAAACAUUCGUAAUAUCCAAGAAAUUCUUUCUUGGUAGAAAGAUGAAUCUACCAGGCAGUGGAGGGAACACUUGGACUCAGGAAAAUGGUGUCCCAGGCCUGGCUGCUUCUUCUUCCCAACUAGAAAUGUGAUCCCAGGCCUAGCCCCUGACUUCUCUGAGUUUCCUCCUUCAUUAAAUGGGGGCAGUAGUUCUUAUUUCACAGGAUUGUUACAGAGAUGAAAGGAAAGAAUGACGUUACAAGGCCUUUGUAGACUCUAAAUUAGUAUUGAGAAAUAAGGAGCUAAUACUGUUUAGGUGCAGUAAGUGAGGUAGAAAAUCUCAUUCUUUCUGUCGACCAGAGAUAUUUGGUAUUUUGAUAUUUUUUUUCCUUUUUAUAUAUAGUAGUGGGUAUAUGUUAACCCCAAUCUCCUAAUUUAUCCUUCUUCUCCGCAUUUACUCUUUGGUAGCCAUAAGUUUGUUUUCACAGCAACAUGAGCAUUAGGCUAAGUGAAAUAAGUCAGACAGAGAAAGAUAAACACUGUAUAUCACUUCUAUGUGGAAUCUGAAAAAUACAACAAACUGGUGAAUGUAACAAAAAAAGAAGCGGACUCACCAAUAGAACAAAGUAGUGGUUACCAGGGGUUUGCAGGGAUGCAGGAGUGUGAGGUAUACACUGCUGGGUGGAAGACAGGCUCAAGGACUGGAAGAUAGAGCCAAUAUUUUAUAAUAACUAUAAAUGGAGUAUAACCUUUAAAAAUUGUGAAUCACUGUAUUGUAUAGCUGUAACUUAUAUAAUGUGUAGCAAUUGUGCUUUAAUUAAAAGCUUAUUACAUCUUGGAGUUCCCAUUGUGGCACAGUGGUUAAUGAAUCUGACUAGGAACUAUGAGGUUGAGGGUUCGAUCGCUGGCCUUGCUCAGUGGGUUAAGGAUCUGGCGUUGCCGUGAGCUGUGGUGUAGGUCCAAGACACGGCUCAGAUCCUGAGUUGCUGUGGCUCUGGCGCUCUGGCGUAGGCUGGUGGCUACAGUUCCGAUUAGACCCCUAGCCUGGGAACUUCCAUAUGCUGCGGGAGUAGCCCUGGAAAAGCCAAAAAGCCAAAAAGCCAAAAAGCCAAAAAGCCAAAAAAAAAAAAAAAAA